rnacentral:rRNA from 1 species
GACGAACGCUGGCGGCGUGCCUAAUACAUGCAAGUCGAGCGGACGAAUCGAAAGCUUGCUUUUGAUUCGUUAGCGGCGGACGGGUGAGUAACACGUGGGCAACCUGCCCUGUAGACGGGGAUAACACCGAGAAAUCGGUGCUAAUACCGGAUAACACGAAAUGUCGCAUGACGCUUCGUUGAAAGACGGCGCAAGCUGUCGCUACAGGAUGGGCCCGCGGCGCAUUAGCUAGUUGGUGAGGUAACGGCUCACCAAGGCGACGAUGCGUAGCCGACCUGAGAGGGUGAUCGGCCACACUGGGACUGAGACACGGCCCAGACUCCUACGGGAGGCAGCAGUAGGGAAUCUUCCGCAAUGGACGAAAGUCUGACGGAGCAACGCCGCGUGAGCGAAGAAGGUCUUCGGGUCGUAAAGCUCUGUUGUUAGGGAAGAACAAGUAACGCAGUAACUGGCGUUACCGUGACGGUACCUAACGAGAAAGCCACGGCUAACUACGUGCCAGCAGCCGCGGUAAUACGUAGGUGGCAAGCGUUGUCCGGAAUUAUUGGGCGUAAAGCGCGCGCAGGCGGUUCCUUAAGUCUGAUGUGAAAGCCCACGGCUCAACCGUGGAGGGUCAUUGGAAACUGGGGGACUUGAGUGCAGAAGAGGAGAGCGGAAUUCCACGUGUAGCGGUGAAAUGCGUAGAGAUGUGGAGGAACACCAGUGGCGAAGGCGGCUCUCUGGUCUGUAACUGACGCUGGGGCGCGAAAGCGUGGGGAGCAAACA